UACGUAGGGUGCAAGCGUUAAUCGGAAUUACUGGGCGUAAAGCGUGCGCAGGCGGUUAUGUAAGACAGUUGUGAAAUCCCCGGGCUCAACCUGGGAAUUGCAUCUGUGACUGCAUAGCUAGAGUACGGUAGAGGGGGAUGGAAUUCCGCGUGUAGCAGUGAAAUGCGUAGAUAUGCGGAGGAACACCGAUGGCGAAGGCAGCCCCCUGGGUCAAGAUUGACGCUCAUGCACGAAAGCGUGGGGAGCAAACAGG
rnacentral:rRNA from 1 species